rnacentral:lncRNA from 1 species
AAUGUUAGACCUAUGAAAACUUAUGUUAGGCGCAAAUAUAAAGGGGCAGGGGCUGUUUAGUAAUUCUAGGGGCAGGGGCAAUUUAGUAACUUUACUAUUAAUUAGGGUUUAGCUAUAAAUAAGAGAUUAUGGAGUCAUUUAUGUUCUAUGUUGAGUUUUGUCUGGUAUUAGGAACCAUUAGGAGUUUUGGGAGAGAUUGGCCUACCUCUCGAAUUGUAGGUCAGGAUUGAUUGUUUGUUUCUUUUGAUUUAAUCAAUAAAAGUCAGCCCUAAUUUAGCCCUAAGUCCUAUCAAAGUGGUAUCAGAGCAAGAAUCUUGAGACAAUGGCAGCGAAGAAGGCGGACGCGCUUGAAGAAAAAUUGGAAGCAGAGGUCGGAUCACUCAAGGCUACGAUUGAUGAGCGAUUCAACACCGUUGAACAACAAUUUUCAUCUCUUGAAACCAUGUUGCUGAAAUUGACAGAACUCCACCUCAACCCACCACUGGUAGCACCGAAGGGCUAUGGUGGUUUGGCAGGAGACGGAUCUGGUGGCACGGAAACCGAGAUGGGCGACGGCGCAGGAGUCGGGGUGACCAGGAAGGGCGAAUUGGGGGCGUUUGGGGGUGAGACACAACCUGAACAGGCUGGAUUUGGGCCCGAGCGGGGAGGAUUUGGGUUUGGACAGGCUGGAUUUGGGGGCGCUAGGCCAAGAGGAGGAAUUUCUGGUGAGAAAGGGAGCGGUUAUGGCCGAAAUACGGCUGGGCAAGGAAUUCCAGCCCACUAUGGUGCUGGGGAAGGAGAAUUUUGGGCUGGAUCUUCGGGAUUUGCAGACACUGGAGUAGAUACGGGAGGUUGGAGACCUCCGAUGGCACGAACUGGGGCUGGUCAGACUCAAUUUGGAGCGGAUUCUAGGGUAAGGAAGCUGAAAAUGCCUAUUUUCGAAGGCGAGGAUGCCUAUGGAUGGGUGUAUAGGGUAGAGCGCUAUUUCAUUACCAGUGGACUCUCAGAGAGGGAAAAGUUAAUGACAGCGGCGUUAUGUUUGGAGGGAAAGGCGCUUGCGUGGUUUCAAUGGCGAGAACAACGACAACCAUUGCGGUCAUGGGGUGAAUUUAAGGACCGCCUAUUGGAGAGAUUUGAGCCGCUCAAGAAGGGGAUUUGCAUGAACAGUUUUUUGCCUUGACCCAAGAGGGAACGGUCAUGAAAUAUAGGGAAAAGUUUGAGUUGCUGUCCGGGCGUCUAGGGGAAGUCUCAGAUGCAGUGUUGGAAGGGAAUUUUAUGAAGGGACUGAAACCGAAAAUCCGAGCCGCACUACGCUUGCUGAGGCCGAGAGGGUUAGGGGAGACAAUGGAGUUGGCACAGAUGAUUGAGGACAAGAACAGAGCAAAACAAAUUAAUAAGAGCAAUUCAAUCGGUUUUUCAUACCGAAAUAGCACACCAUUGGUAGGUCAGAAAACCCAGACCUUGGGGCUCCAGCGAGAGUUCCAAAGCACACCACCGGGAGGUCAGAAAACACAAAUUAAGGGGAUACAGAGAGAUUCCCAAAGGGAUCGGGCUAGUGGUGCACGAUCGGGGGCGACUUUCAAACGCCUCACAGAGACAGAGAUUCAAGACAAGAGGGUGAAGGGGUUGUGUUUUCGAUGUGAUGAGAAAUUUUCCCCAGGGCAUCGAUGUAAAGACAAAUCACUACAAGUUUUGACUGUGUGUGAUGAGGAGGAAAGCGGAGGAGAAGCCGAGGAAGAAGAGGUGGAAGAGCAAGAACGUCCUCAUUUAGAUGUCGCUGAGGUUUCACUCAACUUAGGAGUGGGAUUUACACCGAACCAUACAAUGAAGAUAAGGGGGAGAAUAGGGGAGCAGGACGUAGUGGUGUUAAUCGAUAGUGGUGCAACCCACAAUUUUAUUUCUAAUAAAGUAGUAGAAAUUUGAGAUUUCAAUAAAAGUCAACCCCUUCACCCUCUUGUCAGCCCUAACUUAGCCCUAAGUCCUAUCAGAAAACCUCAAGGGUACUUCUGGGAAGGUAGAAAAGAGUAAGGGAAUAUGUAGAGGGCUGAUCUUACUAUUACCAGGGGUUCAAGUGGUGGAGGACUUUCUUCCGUUGGACUUAGGAAGUACAGACGUAAUUUUAGGAAUGAAGUGGUUGCAGACGCUAGGAGAGAUGAAAGUGAAUUGGAAACUAUUAACAAUGGAGUUUCGGGUAAAUAGUCAGGUGGUCGUGCUACGGGGUGAUUCGAGUUUGAGCAAAACCUUUGUGUCCUUAAAAACCAUGAUAAAGGCGAUUCAAGACGCGAGGCAGGGAUUCUUGGUGGAGCUACAUAGCAUGGUAGGAGGACGGACAGAGGCAUCAACAGUUAUUCAAAAACCAAUUCAGCAGCUGUUGGAGCAAUUUGAGGGGGUUUUCCAUAUGCCUAGUGGCCUACCUCCUCGACGAGAACAUGAGCAUGCAAUAGUGUUAAAGGAAGGGGCUUCACCGAUUAGUGUCCGACCAUACCGGUACCCUCAGAUACAGAAGAACGAGAUUGAGAGGCUAGUUAGGGAAAUGAUAGAGGCCGGGAUAAUACAACCGAGCGUGAGUCCAUUUUCGAGCCCGAUCUUGUUAGUGAAGAAAAAAGAUGGGAGCUGGAGGUUUUGUAUCGACUACCGAGCGCUGAAUAAGGAAACGGUACUUGAUAAAUUUCCUAUUCCAGUGAUAGAUGAGUUGUUGGAUGAGUUGCAUGGGGCGUCAGUAUUUACAAAGAUAGAUUUGAAGUCGGGAUAUCACCAGAUACGGAUGCGACCAAAGGAUGUGCAUAAGACUGCAUUUCGGACUCACGAGGGACAUUACGAAUUUCUGGUUAUGCCGUUUGGCCUUACAAACGCACCAGCCACUUUUCAGUCAUUGAUGAAUAAGGUAUUUCAGCCCUAUUUGAGGAAGUUUGUCCUUGUUUUCUUCGACGAUAUCUUAGUUUACAGUCGCACUUUGGAGGAUUAUGUGGGUCAUCUGGAGUUAGUAUUAAAGGAGUUACAGAAACAUCAGUUGUAUGCCAAUCGGAAAAAGUGCUUGUUUGCGCAGACAAGGGUGGAAUACUUGGGGCAUGUGGUGUCGGCAGAGGGGGUUUCAGCAGAUCAGUCUAAGAUAGCGGCAAUGCUAGAAUGGCCUCUACCUUAGACACUAAAGGAGUUGAGGGGUUUUUUGGGGCUCACCGGAUAUUACCGGAAGUUUGUGAAAGGGUAUAACACCAUAGCAUGGCCUCUGACCGAGCAGUUGAAGAAGGAUAGUUUUCAAUGGGGGGAAGCAGCGAUGCAAGCUUUUGAGAAACUAAAGCGGGCCAUGACUAGUGUUCCGGUGCUAGCAUUACCAGAUUUUAGCCGACCAUUUAUCGUAGAGACAGAUGCAUCGGGGUAUGGGUUAGGCGCUGUCCUUAUGCAAAAUCAACGCCCAAUCGCUUACUUCAGCCAAGUAUUAACAGCUAGGGCUCGACUCAAGUCAGUUUAUGAGCGCGAACUCAUGGCAAUUGUGUUAGCUAUUCAGAAGUGGAGGCCAUACCUCUUGGGGCGACGUUUUAUCGUUCGAACCGACCAACGGAGUCUCAAAUUCCUAUUGGAACAACGAAUGGUGACUGAGGAACACCAACGCUGGUUGUCGAAGUUACUAGGCUAUGAUUUUGAGAUACAAUAUCGGCCGGGGUUGGAGAAUAAGGCGGCAGAUGCCUUAUCGCGACGGAAGGAGGAACCUCAGUUGGUAGCUUUAUCGGUGCCUUUGGUGAUGGAUUGGGACGCAUUGUUACGAGAAAUUGAAGCAGACGAGGGGCUGGUAAAGAUCCGGACAGCGUUGUUACGUGGGGAACUGGGAUACCCGGGUUAUUCUAUGGAUGGACAACGACUGUUAUAUCAAGGGCGUCUGGUGCUGCCGAGGACAUCACUCCAAAUACCGAAGUUAUUAUGGGAGUUUCACGAGAGUGCUAUUGGGGGACAUUCUGGUGUUCUAAAAACUUAUUGGCGUUUGGCCGCAGAGCUGUAUUGGGUUGGGAUGAAGAAGGAUGUUGAGGAGAUGGUAGCGAGGUGUGAUGUGUGUCAACGCCACAAAUAUAUGGCAAUGGCACCAGGAGGGUUGUUGCAACCAUUAUCACUACCCAAUAAGGUUUGGGAGGAGGUAACGAUGGAUUUUGUUGAAGGGUUGCCACGUUCGGAUGGAUAUACGGUGAUCUUGGUGGUGGUCGAUCGACUAAGCAAGUAUGCUCAUUUCAUACCCCUACGACACCCUUAUACUGCUGUGAUGGUUGCAGCGGCGUUUAUGCGUGAGGUAGUACGUUUACAUAGAAUUCCGGAGUCGAUAGUAACAGACCGAGAUAAGGUUUUUCUAAGCCACUUUUAGAGGGAGUUGUUUAAAAUGCAGUGUACAAUUUUGAAGAGGAGCACAGCUUACCAUCCACAAACUGAUGGGCAGACUGAGAUAGUCAACCGAUGUGUAGAGACUUAUCUACGAUGUUUUGUGUUGGACAAGCCUAAGCAAUGGGCGAGGUAGUUAGCAUGGGCAGAGUAUUGGUACAAUACUUCUUAUCACACUGCUGCACAAACCACUCCUUUUAAGAUCUUGUAUGGGCGAGAUCCUCCACAUUUGGUGUACUAUGGUCAAGGUUCGACACCUGUAUCGCAGGCGGAUCAAUACUUGGAGGAACGAGAUCGAAUACUUGAUGAGUUGAAGAGGCAUCUAUUUAAAGCGCAGCAGAUAAUAAAAAAACAGGCCGACGGUCAUAGGAGGGACGUGCAAUUUGCGGUGGGGGACCGAGUUUAUCUGAAGCUAUGGCCAUACCGACAGAAAUCUCUUGCGCGACGGAGGAGUGAGAAGCUCUCCCCUCGGUAUUUUGGGCCCUAUGAGAUUGAAAAAAAGAUUGGCGAGGUGGCGUAUCGGUUGAAGUUGCCGCCAACAUCGGUCAUUCACCCGGUGUUUCAUGUGUCUCAGUUGAGACGAGCUAUUGGAGAACAUACACCCUCUCCUUUGCUUCCACCAACGCUGACUGAGGAUAUGGAGGUCGUGCUAGAACCAGCGGCUGUGGAGGGAGUACGCCAGGGAGUUACAGGACAACCUACUGAUACAGAAGUGUUGAUUACAUGGAAGGACUUGCCAGACUAUGAGGCAACAUGGGAGCCAUAUGAGUUGAUACAACAACAGUUCCCUGAAUUCCACCUUGAGGACAAGGUGUCUUUUUGGGAGGGGAGUAAUGUUAUACCUAUGAAAACUUAUGUUAGGCGCAAAUAUAAAGGGGCAGGGGCUGUUUAGUAAUUCUAGGGGCUGGGGCAAUUUAGUAACUUUACUAUUAAUUAGGGUUUAGCUAUAAAUAAGAGAUUAUGGAGUCAUUUAUGUUCUAUGUUGAGUUUUGUCUGGUAUUAGGAUCCAUUAGGAGUUUUGGGAGAGAUUGACCUACCUCUCGAAUUGUAGGUCAGGAUUGAUUGUUUGUUUCUUUUGAUUUAAU